rnacentral:rRNA from 1 species
GACGAACGCUGGCGGCGUGCGUAAUACAUGCAAGUAGAACGCUGAAGGAGGAGCUUGCUCUUCUGGAUGAGUUGCGAACGGGUGAGUAACGCGUAGGUAACCUGCCUGGUAGCGGGGGAUAACUAUUGGAAACGAUAGCUAAUACCGCAUAAUAGUAGAUGUUGCAUGACAUUUACUUAAAAGGUGCAAUUGCAUCACUACCAGAUGGACCUGCGUUGUAUUAGCUAGUUGGUGGGGUAACGGCUCACCAAGGCGACGAUACAUAGCCGACCUGAGAGGGUGAUCGGCCACACUGGGACUGAGACACGGCCCAGACUCCUACGGGAGGCAGCAGUAGGGAAUCUUCGGCAAUGGACGAAAGUCUGACCGAGCAACGCCGCGUGAGUGAAGAAGGUUUUCGGAUCGUAAAGCUCUGUUGUAAGAGAAGAACGAGUGUGAGAGUGGAAAGUUCACACUGUGACGGUAUCUUACCAGAAAGGGACGGCUAACUACGUGCCAGCAGCCGCGGUAAUACGUAGGUCCCGAGCGUUGUCCGGAUUUAUUGGGCGUAAAGCGAGCGCAGGCGGUUAGAUAAGUCUGAAGUUAAAGGCUGUGGCUUAACCAUAGUACGCUUUGGAAACUGUUUAACUUGAGUGCAAGAGGGGAGAGUGGAAUUCCAUGUGUAGCGGUGAAAUGCGUAGAUAUAUGGAGGAACACCGGUGGCGAAAGCGGCUCUCUGGCUUGUAACUGACGCUGAGGCUCGAAAGCGUGGGGAGCAAACAGG